GUCAAAAGGGCCUCAACAAAAAGUCAAAAGGGCCUCAGACCCCUAGUCAGAAGGGCCCCAUAUAAAAAAAUAAUAACAUCUUUUG